rnacentral:rRNA from 1 species
GACGAACGCUGGCGGCGUGCUUAACACAUGCAAGUCGAACGAUGAAGCCGGAGCUUGCUCUGGUGAAUUAGUGGCGAACGGGUGAGUAACACGUGAGUAACCUGCCCUUGACUCUGGGAUAACUGCGGGAAACUGUAGCUAAUACCGGAUACGACCCUCGGAGGCAUCUCCUGGGGGUGGAAAGAAUUUCGGUCAAGGAUGGACUCGCGGCCUAUCAGCUAGUUGGUGAGGUAAUGGCUCACCAAGGCGACGACGGGUAGCCGGCCUGAGAGGGGAGCCGGGCACACUGGGGCGUGGACACGGCCCAGACUCCUGCGGGAGGCAGCAGUGGGGAAUAUUGCACAAUGGGCGCAAGCCUGAUGCAGCAACGCCGCGUGAGGGAUGACGGCCUUCGGGUUGUAAACCUCUUUUAGUAGGGAAGAAGCGAAAGUGACGGUACCUGCAGAAAAAGCACCGGCUAACUACGUGCCAGCCGCCGCCGUAA